GCACCGGCUAACUACGUGCCAGCAGCCGCGUCAAUACGUAUGGUGCAAGCGUUAAUCGGAAUUACUGGGCGUAUAGCGUGCGCAGGCGGUCCGCUAAGACAGAUGUGCAAAUCCCCGGGCUUAACCUGUUAACUGCAUUUGUGACUGGCGGACUAUAGUAUGGAACAGUGAGAUACAAUUCUACGUGUAGCAGUGAAUUGCGUAAAGAUGUGUAGGUAUACCGAUGCCGAAGCCAGACCCCUGGACCUAUACUGACGCUCAUGCACGAAAGCGUGGGGAGCAAACAGGAUU
rnacentral:rRNA from 1 species